AGAGUUUGAUCAUGGCUCAGGACGAACGCUGGCGGCGUGCCUAAUACAUGCAAGUCGAGCGCGUGAAGCAAGACAGAUUCCUUCGGGAUGACGCCUUGUGGAUCGAGCGGCGGAUGGGUGAGUAACACGUGGGCAACCUGCCUGUAAGCCUGGGAUAACACAAGGAAACUUGUGCUAAUACCGGAUAAAGUUCUUUGCCUCCUGGCAAAGGAAUGAAAGGCGGCUUUUAGCUGUCACUUACAGAUGGGCCCGCGUCGCAUUAGCUAGUUGGUGAGGUAACGGCUCACCAAAGCCACGAUGCGUAGCCGACCUGAGAGGGUGAUCGGCCACACUGGGACUGAGACACGGCCCAGACUCCUACGGGAGGCAGCAGUAGGGAAUCUUCCGCAAUGGACGAAAGUCUGACGGAGCAACGCCGCGUGAGUGAUGAAGGUUUUCGGAUCGUAAAACUCUGUUGUAAGGGAAGAACAAGCCGUAUGCUAAUAUCAUGCGGCCUUGACGGUACCUGACGAGAAAGCCCCGGCUAACUACGUGCCAGCAGCCGCGGUAAUACGUAGGGGGCAAGCGUUGUCCGGAAUUAUUGGGCGUAAAGGGCUCGCAGGCGGUUACGAAAGUCUGAUGUGAAAUCUUAUGGCUUAACCAUAAGCGUGCAUUGGAAACUGCGUACUUGAGUACAG
rnacentral:rRNA from 1 species